CGGGGCUGAGCUCGGCCCGCCCCGAGGCGGGCCCGCUGCCUGCCGCCGAGCAUCCCGGAGUGGGCUCCGUUCUGCUGCUCCGCCACCAUGUCCCUGUGCCGGGCCGCCUCGCAGGCGCUGGCCUGCCGCCUGGGCAGGGCUCCCGCCGCCGCCAGCCGCCUCAAGCAGCGCGCGCCUCCUCGCCAGAUGUCCUCUGGGCGUGUUCCCGGCUCCCCUGGAGACAGCAUGAUCAUCUAUCUCCUUGCUGGUGUUGCUGCUUUUGGUGGAUUAUUUUAUGCCUACAGAGUAGUCAGUUCACCCCGCAGCAAGUUUACUGAGCAGACAAAUACCCUUCGUGAGAGAGCCGAGGAGUGGAAAAGCAAUCCCUGGUCAAGGAAGGAAGGUGAUGGAGAAGAGAAGGACGAAGUCACUGAAGCAGAGAAGGCCACGGAAGAGGCUGAGGCAGCAGCUGCUGUUGAAGCUGCAGCACAGGAUGAGAGUUCUGGACCCACAGCACAGGAGGAGAGUGCUGCACCCACAGCACAGGAGGAGAGUGCUGGGGGAUCCCCAGAAGCUGGAGGGGAGAAUGAUUUACUGGCUCCAGAGGUACCCCAGGCUGUGGAGGAAGCACAGCAGGAAGGUGCUGCUAACUCAGAAGCUGCUGCUAAUUUGGAACUUGCUGCUAAUUCAGAAGCUGCUGCAGUUCAAGUUUCUGAGGAGGAGAAGACCACUGAAGAAGUUGCUAAAGAGCCCUAAAGGUACACAGUACAGUUGCAGCAUGUGGUUUUCUGCUCUUCACCUAUCUUUUGUUCUCAGUUAGUGGCAAUUGCAGCAUGUGUAAGCAGUGAAGACGCCUUUGUAAAGUUUAAUGCAAAUAUUUGUGGCAAUCCACCAGCUGAUUCCUGUGUGAAACCUCAUACUCUUCCUUGAAGACAUAAAAGAAACUGCAGUUUGUCCCACCACACACUGGUUAUUACGGCCAGUAUUCAGUGCUGCAAGAGCUGAUUUACAUUGCCUAGAGAAACGCUCCUGUGAUUACAUCUCUGCUCUAGAAAGUAGCAUCCAGUCAAGCCACUCAGCAUGUCCUAAAUAAAUGUGCUAAGAGAAGCAGUAGACUUAACUAAACCAUGCCAGAUGAACUCCCUCUAGGUCUUUGUUGUCUUGAUAUGUACAUUGAUUUCUUACUUUUGGUCCAAACUGUUGUGCAUAGUUACACCUUUGUUACAUUCCAUGGUAAAAUGUAAGCAAAAGGUUUUAAAAUCAAGUCAAAAUAUUAUAAAAGUACCUGUUAGCAUCUUUAAAUUGUAUCACAGGGAAAAAAACAACGUGUUUGCUCCUGAGUUUGGACUUGUGACUGUUAGCAUAGGACAUCUGGCUGCACAAGAUCUAAUUUUCCCCCUGCAGAAACAUUUCAGAUGCCACCAUUCCUGGCACAAUAACAUCCAGGAGCAAACAUUAGAAGGCUCCUGCUUUAGGAAGAAAACCUGUUUGCAAGUAGUAGCAGUAGGUACUUUAUAGCAAGACAAUCAAAACAGCACUGGUUGGUGUUGUCACCAUGUAUCAGUGGUGGCUCUGCCUUGGGUGUGCUCUGCUCCUCCCAAAUCUCAUUCAGCUCCCUGAGGUCUCUCUGUGCUGCUCUGUCUUGGCAGUGGUUGUGUAGCUGUAGUGUAAAACACAAAGGUUUGGUAUAAACCUCCAAUCUGGUACAAAUCACCAGCCUUUGUGGUGAUUUGUGGCCUUUUAGGCCAGGGCAAAGCCUGUCUCUGAGAUCUUGCACACAGAGAGUAAAAUCCUUGUGAAGGGCUAUGCAAAGGGUGUUCAAAUGGACAGGCAUUCUUGGGGAGUAAGAAAGAACUGAACAGCUAAAUAACCUUUUCUCAGUAUUUGCUUCAUAAAAAAUACAUUUAUUAUGAAUAAUAUGUUUGUAUGCCACAACCCUCCAUUGUGCCACGUGCACGAGCGUGCAUCUAACACAAAACACUGAGACCCCAUUGCAGCCAACACAGAAUGGAAAUGAUUCUAAACCAGAGCCAAAAAAGGUAUAUUAUGUACUAUUUACAUAGAAAGUGUGUUUUAUAAGGUGUGUCUGACUCUUUUCAAGUGGAAGUUUGGAAAAUGCUGAAAGGGAAACAGCAUUAUGACAUUCCUACCCACAGCACAAAGCAACGCGUGCUCCUUCCCCACUUAUAAAGCAAAUUAUAGAAGUGUUCCAACAAAAAUAUAACCUGUUGCUCCUGGACCUACUUAGGAAUAACUGGAAUAAUGCAGAGGCAAAAGCAGGCUCCUGAGCUACAAGAAGACAAAUCACAGCCUUCUGCUUAAAGGAUAAAGCCUCUGUGAUUAAAAGCAAUUUUUGUGGACAAAGCUACUGGAAUAAAGAUCUUAGACUGAUAUUUUGUUGGAUAAGAGUCUAUCUUUAUUUAUCUUGUAGAUUAAGCAUGCUGUGAUGGAUGUAUGCUAAAUGUUCUAUUUCUUCAUUUUCACUAAUUCCUAGUAAAAGAAGUUCUUUUAGCUGUAUCUAACAGUAGGGUUUCUGAAAUUGUAGGCUUUUCUGAAUGGCUCUUUAUCUCUGGAACCACUCUGGUACAUGGCAAAGUAUGUUAGCCCUCUGCAGCAGCUGCCUGAAUGACUGAAUCACAAACUAUGGUUUCCAAAACUUUUCAUCCUUUCAAUUUCAAACAAAUGUGAGAGUCCCAAAACAGCCUGUACAUGUGCUUUAUGCCAGAGUUCCUCUUUUUGUUUGUUUGUUUUGUUUUGUUCAGGUUUUAUUAAAAAAAAAAACAAAAACAAAACUAGAUGACAUGCAGCACAGAUGGCCUGCUUCAGCACUUGACUGUCUUAGAGUAACAACAGAACCACAUUUAUAUUUUGAAAUUUGCAGAGGUCUGGCCAUUGUUGAUUCAGUCUUUUUCAUAUGGAGGCUGAAUACAACAUAAAUGAAUAUUUUUGUGUCCUUCAUUCUCAGAAAAGUGAAUUUUUGAGUUGCUACACAAAGGCUGUGAUGAACCAUGGAAAAUGUUGAAAGGUAUUGUUGAAAUGGAUCAUUAAGCGGAACAAGGCUACAGCAGAGAACAGACUAAAUGAGAUGGGAGGAAAGAUUUGGUCUUGACAAUACACUUCACAGGCCAGAGCAAAGCUUGAGAUUCUGGAAUUUAUCCAAACUGCACAUUGCUCCUUUGCCAUCAGCAGCUAUCUGUGAAAGCAGCUGGCAAGGAUUUUCACCUCCCUCUAGAGCUGGUUACUCCCUCUAGUUCACCUCUCUGAAGGGUGACAGCCUGUUGCUGCUGGCAGCUAUUCACAAAGCUGAAAAUUCUGGAGAUAACAAAGUCCAUCUAACAAUUUCAGGUUUACUUUUUGCCUGUGUUGGUGUAGAUCUAGAAUUUCGAUUUUAUUUUCAUUUGCUUCUUCAAAACAUAAGACAAUUACUAGAAAUCGUAAUUCAAACUGCAAGCUGCCACUCUGCACUUGGAAAACCUGAGAGUGAAAUACUUUUGUCAGGAUUUCUUAUGUUUAUGCAACAGGCUUUGAUGAUGUGAUACUACUUUUAAAAUCUGUUUUUCUGGAAAAAAAAAACAAAAAACAAAACCAAAAAACCCCCAAAA